rnacentral:rRNA from 1 species
UACGUAGGUGGCAAGCGUUGUCCGGAUUUACUGGGCGUAAAGGGAGCGUAGGCGGAUUUUUAAGUGAGAUGUGAAAUACCCGGGCUCAACUUGGGUGCUGCAUUUCAAACUGGAAGUCUAGAGUGCAGGAGAGGAGAAUGGAAUUCCUAGUGUAGCGGUGAAAUGCGUAGAGAUUAGGAAGAACACCAGUGGCGAAGGCGAUUCUCUGGACUGUAACUGACGCUAAGGCUCGAAAGCGUGGGGAGCAAACAGGAUUAGAUACCCUGGUA